rnacentral:rRNA from 1 species
AGUGAACGCUGGCGGCAGGCCUAACACAUGCAAGUCGAGCGGCAGCGGGUUCCCGCGAGGGGAUGCCGGCGAGCGGCGGACGGGUGAGGAACACAUCGGAAUCUGCCUGGUUGUGGGGAUAACGUAGGAACUUACGCUAAUACCGCAUGAGACCCUGAGUCGACGGACUGGGGGUGAAAGUGAGGGACCUUCGGGCCUCACGCGACCAGAUGAGCCGAUGUCGGAUAGC